rnacentral:sRNA from 1 species
AAGAAAGUGACUGCCGCCCCGCACAGGGGCAACGCCAAUAGACCACUAAGAAAACAAGUUCCACGCAAAACCAAAGCGAAACGGCCAAGGAACGCGCGGUCAUCAUGCGUCGCUG